UUUGAUAUUCCAAACACACCCAAACACUCACACGGCGCCACCCUUUCUCUCUCGGCUUUCUUUGUUGCCACCGUUGCAUCCCUCAUCUCUCUUCUCUCACUCCCUCGGUCAACGCCGCUCCGCCGCCUACUCCUCUCACCAGCCUACUCGCAACGAGUAGCCGCCACCGCCCUUCUCUCUCUUCUCUCACUCCCUCGAUCAACGCCGCUCCGCCGCCGACUCCUCUGACCGGCAGAGCCUCCACCGCCGCGCCGCCUGUCUAGGAACGAAGACCACAACGGCUCCGCCACGCCAUCGCCGUCACUGACUAUCAUCUGCCAUGUUAGCAGAUCAGAGUUAAUGGCGGAUCUACCGCCAUUGCGCUGUCGCAGGCAUCCGAUAGCCACCGUGGCUCGUCCCUCACAUCUCUUUCUCUCGACUCACGCCAAAAUGGAACAGGGGACUCAACCGCAUUUUAGUCAGGAUCAAGUAAAAUUUGGUGCUUGCAGCGCUUGGACAGAGAGGUUCGAGGCGGCGAGGUCGUGGCCACGAGAGACAGGAGGAGGCAGGGGCAGUGGCGACGACGAUCGGCGAACAACACAGAGAGAACGCGACAAAUAGUGAAAGAAAAGACAUAAAUUGUAUUUUUUUUUUCUUUUUAAUCCAUGUAAAUAAGCCAUGUAGGCUUUCCGAUAGUCCACGCCAAUUUUCGGUCUCUGAAAAAUUUUAAUAG